GGAGUUGUAGCUCAGUGGUAGAGCACUUGCCUAGCAUGCAAGACCCCUAGUUCCA
rnacentral:tRNA from 1 species